CACAUGAAAAUAGGACAAAUAAUGUCCUCUAGUCACACAGGGCACGACAAGCUUCAAUAAGGGACAAGUAACUCGGGCAAACACGGGAAAGGGACCCUGACCGAUAAUCUUUCUGCAUACAAGACAACGAGCGACAUAAGGACAUCCAGUGCCUGCUAGCUAAAAUAGCAAAGCGAGGAUGGACGUCAAAGCGAGCUUCAAUUUCUAUGUGUACCAAAAUAUUUAGCACACAAGAUAAAGAAGGGACAAUGGGACUAGAGAGUUCCGUCAAAUAAGGUAUGCUUCACAGGGGGCCAAACCAACCAAGGCAAAUAAUUUAGCACUUGGACUAAACUGAAAAGGUGUGAACCAGAGAUUGUCGCUGCCGAGGCAGGGAACCAACCAAACGGAACAUACC
rnacentral:misc_RNA from 1 species